rnacentral:rRNA from 1 species
GUUCAUGGCUCAGGAUGAACGCUAGCUACAGGCUUAACACAUGCAAGUCGAGGGGCAGCAUUUCAGUUUGCUUGCAAACUGGAGAUGGCGACCGGCGCACGGGUGAGUAACACGUAUCCAACCUGCCGAUAACUCGGGGAUAGCCUUUCGAAAGAAAGAUUAAUACCCGAUGGUAUAAUUAGACCGCAUGGUCUUGUUAUUAAAGAAUUUCGGUUAUCGAUGGGGAUGCGUUCCAUUAGGCAGUUGG